rnacentral:rRNA from 1 species
GACGAACGCUGGCGGCGUGCUUAACACAUGCAAGUCGAACGGAAAGGCCUUGCUUGCAGGGUACUCGAGUGUCGAACGGGUGAGUAACACGAGGGUGAUCUGCCCUUCACUUCGGGAUAAGCCUGGGAAACUGGGUCUAAUACCGGUUAGGAGCCCGUUUUAGUGUGAUGGUUGGAAAGUUUUUUCGGUGUAGGAUGAGCUGUCGGCCUAUCAGCUUGUUGGUGGGUUAGUGGCCUACCAAGGCGGCGAGGGGUAGCCGGCAUGAGAGGGUGGACAGGCACAAUGGGCCUGAGGGACGGCCCAGUGUGCAACGGGAGGCAGCGGUGGGGAGUAUUGCAGAAUGAGCGCGAGCCUGAGGCGGCGACGCCGCGUGGGGGAAGACGUGCUUCGGGUUGUGAACGCCUUUCGCUAGAGAAGAAACAUUUUGUGACGGUACCUAAAUAAGAAGCACCGGCUAACUACGUG